AGAGCGAACGUUUGCGGCGGGCCUAACACAUGCAAGUCGAACGGGCUAGCAAUAGUCAGUGGCGCACGGGUGCGUAACACGUGGGUAAUCAACCCUUCAGCUUGGGAUAACGCCUUGAAAGGGGCGCUAAUACCGGAUACGGCGCGAGAGUCUUCGGGCUUUCACGAGAAAGGUUCGCAAGGACCACUGAAGGACGAGCCUGCGGCCCAUCAGCUAGUUGGUGAGGUAAGAGCUCACCAAGGCGAAGACGGGUAGC
rnacentral:rRNA from 1 species